UCAAAUUUAAAAUCUGGCAGUGAUUCACUGUCCGAGUUGUAAUCUAGAGAAGUGUUGCUCACACUGGACCAUGUAUAAGUCUUCUGGAAUGAAGCGUCAUAGAGGGUGAGAAUCCCGUCUUUGACAUGGACUCCCAGUGUAUUUGUAGCAUGCUCUCAAAGAGUCGAGUUGUUUGGGAAUGCAGCUCUAAAUGGGUGGUAACCUCCAUCUAAAGCUAAAUAUUGGCGAGAGACCGAUAGUGAACAAGUACCGUGAGGGAAAGAUGAAAAGAACUUUGGAAAGAGAGUUAAAAAGUACGUGAAAUUGUUGAAAGGGAAACGCUUGAAGUCAGUCACAUUGGCCAGGGAUCAACUUGCUUCUAAGUGUACUUCCUGGUUGAUGGGCCAACAUCAGCUUUGACUGUCAGAGAAGGGCAAGGGGGAAUGUGGCACYCUCUUUGGGUGUGUUAUAGCCCUCUGUCGUAUAUGGCAGUUGGGGCUGAGGAAUGCAGCGCGCCACCAGGCCGGGCUUUAUGGCUACGUUCGCGCUUAGGAUGUUGGCAUAAUGGCUUUAAUCGACCCGUCUUGAAACACGGACCAAGGAGUCUAACAUGCCUGCGAGUGUUUGGGUGGAAAACCCGAGCGCAUAAUGAAAGUGAAAGUUGAGAUCCCUGUCAUGGGGUGCAUCGAUGCCCGGACCUGAGCUUUACAGCAAUGGCUCUGCGGUAUAGCAUGUAUGUUGGGACCCGAAAGAUGGUGAACUAUGCCUGAAUAGGGCGAAGCCAGAGGAAACUCUGGUGGAGGCUCGUAGCGAUUCUGACGUGCAAAUCGAUCGUCGAUU
rnacentral:rRNA from 1 species